GUACACUCCUGCGGGAGGCGGCAGUGGGGAAUAUUGGACAAUGGGCGCAAGCCUGAUCCAGCCAUGCCGCGUGAGUGAUGAAGGCCCUAGGGUUGUAAAGCUCUUUCACCGGUGAAGAUAAUGACGGUAACCGGAGAAGAAGCCCCGGCUAACUUCGUGCCAGCAGCCGCGGUAAUACGAAGGGGGCUAGCGUUGUUCGGAUUUACUGGGCGUAAAGCGCACGUAGGCGGACUAUUAAGUCAGGGGUGAAAUCCCGGGGCUCAACCCCGGAACUGCCUUUGAUACUGGUAGUCUUGAGUUCGAGAGAGGUGAGUGGAAUUCCGAGUGUAGAGGUGAAAUUCGUAGAUAUUCGGAGGAACACCAGUGGCGAAGGCGGCUCACUGGCUCGAUACUGACGCUGAGGUGCGAAAGCGUGGGAAGCAAACAGGAUUAGAUACCCCGGUAGUCCCAU
rnacentral:rRNA from 1 species